UGGCUCGUUAGGUGGAUAUCUUGUGCCCU
rnacentral:piRNA from 1 species